GACGAACGCUGGCGGCGUGCCUAAUACAUGCAAGUCGAACGCUGAAGCUUGGUGCUUGCCCCGAGCGGAUGAGUUGCGGACGGGUGAGUAACGCGUAGGUAACCUGCCUGGUAGCGGGGGAUAACUAUUGGAAACGAUAGCUAAUACCGCAUAAGAGUAGAUGUUGCAUGACAUUUGCUUAAAAGGUGCAAUUGCAUCACUACCAGAUGGACCUGCGUUGUAUUAGCUAGUUGGUGAGGUAACGGCUCACCAAGGCAACGAUACAUAGCCGACCUGAGAGGGUGAUCGGCCACACUGGGACUGAGACACGGCCCAGACUCCUACGGGAGGCAGCAGUAGGGAAUCUUCGGCAAUGGACGGAAGUCUGACCGAGCAACGCCGCGGGAGUGAAGAAGGUUUUCGGAUCGUAAAGCUCUGUUGUAAGAGAAGAACGAGUGUGAGAGUGGAAAGUUCAAACUGUGACGGUAUCUUACCAGAAAGGGACGGCUAACUACGUG
rnacentral:rRNA from 1 species